rnacentral:rRNA from 1 species
GUGCCAGCAGCCGCGGUAAUACGUAGGUGGCAAGCGUUAUCCGGAAUUAUUGGGCGUAAGGCGCGCGUAGGCGGUUUUUUAAGUCUGAUGUGAAAGCCCACGGCUCAACCGUGGAGGGUCAUUGGAAACUGGAAAACUUGAGUGCAGAAGAGGAAAGUGGAAUUCCAUGUGUAGCGGUGAAAUGCGCAGAGAUAUGGAGGAACACCAGUGGCGAAGGCGACUUUCUGGUCUGUAACUGACGCUGAUGUGCGAAAGCGUGGGGAUC